UCUAAUAUUCUCGCCACAUAGACGGUUGCGUCUCUUGUGCCACCAGCGACCUAUUUCCUGUAGUUUCGUCGCCGUCGACGGCGAUUGUGUCUCAUCCGCUAUCCAUGGUGCAUGCAUCAGCAUGGAAGAAGACGACGCUCCUGUUCCUGUGCAGCAGGUCUCGGGUAUUCAAUGCUUUCCACCGGCCACUCCAGCCAAAAUCGGCCAAAACUCAGAUGGCCAUGAUGUCCUUGCGUACGUAACACAGCGGACGGCGGCGGCGCCGAUCACAACGACGAGAUGCAUGGCAUCGGUAGCAGCAACGAGACAACAACGACCACCCUUUCUCGUCUAAUUGCAGCUGCAAUUGUCUCGUCGUCGUUCAGUGCGGGCGGCUACUCCGGUGUGCGUCCGCAUUAUACUCGGUCGAUGACGCCGAUUAUGACGAAGCUUCAACUUAUCUUGUACUCCUUCUAUACUGGAGUACGAGAGCUGUGUUCCGCCAGCCGGUGUUCGUCUUCUCUGCAGACUACCUUUUCCUUCAUGUUGCUGCUACACCGAAGUGAUCUAACAAUCCUCCAACGACGAACUUGCUGCGAAUGAUCGAUCCAUCAUGGAGGACGCGUGCAUACAGAAGAAGCUGUUUUUUUCUUCGAAUAAGAAGCUAGAGUUAAAUCGAUGCUCUUUCCGUGAUACACAAACACAAGUCAAAUCUUGUUAUUUUUUGGAGUGGACAAAUACUACUAUUUGAAAUGAAUUAUAUUCUGUAA